AAACUUUGCAAUGUGCGAAAGCACGACAAGGUUAAUCCGAGUGUUUCCUGCUAAAGGAAUCUUUUGUUAGUCAUAAAACCACUAUCGAAUAAGGGGUGGGCAAGUUCUGGUGUCAGCCGCCGCGGUAAAACCAGCACCUCAAGUGGUCAGGAGGAUUAUUGGGCCUAAAGCAUCCGUAGCCUGCUUUGUAAGUUUUCGGUUAAAUCCAUAUGCUCAACAUAUGGGCUGCCGGGAAUACUGCAUAGCUAGGGAGUGGGAGAGGUAGACGGUACUCCGUAGGAAGGGGUAAAAUCCUUUGAUCUAUGGAUGACCACCUGUGGCGAAGGCGGUCUACCAGAACACGUCCGACGGUGAGGGAUGAAAGCUGGGGGAGCAAACCGGAUUAGAUACCCGGGUAGUCCCAGCUGUAAACUAUGCAAACUCAGUGAUGCAUUGGCUUGUGGCCAGUGCAGUGCCGCAGGGAAGCCGUUAAGUUUGCCGCCUGGGAAGUACGUACGCAAGUAUGAAACUUAAAGGAAUUGGCGGGGGAGCAC
rnacentral:rRNA from 1 species